rnacentral:rRNA from 1 species
UGCAGGUGGCGGCGUGCUUACCAUGCAGUCGAGCGGUAAGGCCCUUUCGGGGGUACACGAGCGGCGAAGGGGUGAGUAACACGUGGGUGACCUGCCCUCCACUCUGGGAUAAGCCCGGGAAACUGGGUCUAAUACCGGAUAGGACCUCUGGACGCAUGUCGGGUGGUGGAAAGUUUUUUCGGUGGGGGAUGGGCCCGCGGCCUAUCAUCUUGUUGGUGGGGUGAUGGCCUACCAAGGCGGUGACGGGUAGCCGGCCUGAGAGGGCGACCGGCCACACUGGGACUGAGACACGGCCCACACUCCUACGGGAGGCAGCAGUGGGGAAUAUUGCGCAGUGGGCGGAAGCCUGACGCAGCGACCCCGCGUGGGGGAUGACGGCCUUCGGGUUGUAAACCUCUUUCGCCAGGGACAAAGCUAACGUGACGGUACCUGGAGAAGAAGCACCGGCCAACUACGUGCCAGCAGCCGCGGUAACACGUAGGGUGCGAGCGUUGUCCGGAAUUAUUGGGCGUAAAGAUCUCGUAGGCGGUGUGUCGCGUCGGCCGUGAAAACUUGGGGCAUAACUCUGAGCGUGCGGUCGAUACGGGCAUCACUUGAGUUCGGCAGGAGAGACUGGAAUUCGUGGUGUAGCGGUGAAGUGCACAUAUAUCAAGAGGAACACCGGUGGCAAAGGCGGGUCUCUGGGCCGAUACUGACUCUGAGGAGCGAAUGUGUGGGGAGCAAAUAGGAUUAUAUACCCUGGUUAUCCACGCCGUAAACGUUGCGCGCUAGGUGUGGGGACCAUUCCGCUGUUUUCUGCGCCGCACCUAACGCAUUAAGCCCCCCACCUGGCGAGUACGCCGAAGGCUAAACUCAAGAGAAAUUGAGGGGGCCCCCACACGCGCCUC